CCAGGUCUUGACAUCCUCUUGCAAGCAUCCUAGCCGAUGCCCUCCUUCGGGACAAGAGAGACAGGUGGUGCAUGGUUGUCGUCAGCUCGUGUCGUGAGAUGUUGGGUUAAGUCCCGCAACGAGCGCAACCCUUGUGUUUAGUUGCCAACAGGUUAAGCUGUGCACUCUAAACAGACUGCCGUGGAUAACACGGAGGAAGGUGGGGAUGACGUCAAAUCAUCAUGCCCCUUAUGAUCUGGGCUACACACGUGCUACAAUGGUCGGUACAACGGGCAGCGAAAGAGCGAUCUGGAGCGAAUCCUAAAAAGCCGAUCCCAGUUCGGAUUGCAGGCUGAAACUCGCCUACAUGAAGUUGGAGUUGCUAGUAAUCGCGAAUCAGAAUGUCGCGGUGAAUGCGUUCCC
rnacentral:rRNA from 1 species